UACGGAGGGGGCUAGCGUUGUUCGGAAUUACUGGGCGUAAAGCGUACGUAGGCGGCUUUGUAAGUUAGAGGUGAAAGCCCGGGGCUCAACCCCGGAAUUGCCUUUAAGACUGCAUCGCUUGAAUCAUGGAGAGGUGAGUGGAAUUCCGAGUGUAGAGGUGAAAUUCGUAGAUAUUCGGAAGAACACCAGUGGCGAAGGCGACUCACUGGACAUGUAUUGACGCUGAGGUACGAAAAGCGUGGGGGAGCAAACAGG
rnacentral:rRNA from 1 species